UACGGGGGGGGUAAGCGUUGUUCGGAAUUACUGGGCGUAAAGGGCUCGUAGGCGGCCAACUAAGUCGGACGUGAAAUCCCUCAGCUUAACUGGGGAACUGCGUCCGAUACUGGAUGGCUUGGAUUUGGGAGAGGGAUGCGGAAUUCCAGGUGUAGCGGUGAAAUGCGCAGAUAUCAGGAGGAACACCGGCGGCGAAGGCGGCACUCUGGGCCGGUACUGACGCUGAGGAGCGAAAGCGUGGGUAGCAAACAGG
rnacentral:rRNA from 1 species